rfam:Picea glauca, whole genome shotgun sequence.
UAAGCACGCUUGGGCUCGAGUCAUACUGGGAUGGGUGACCUCCUAGGAAGUCCUAGUGUUGAACCCU